AAUUUUAACCAAGUCUGCCACCCAUCCAAACUAAUUUCAAAACUCCCCAGCUUAAUUUCAAAAGAAACCAACCCAUAUGACUCAAAUACAAAUCCCUAACAUGUGCGUCGCUCACUUUCCCCAAAUCUCUCUACUUUGCUUCCCUUCUUGUGCUGAGACCAGAGGCUGAAACCCAUUUGCUGGCUCACUCAUCACUUUCCAAAAUUGUUUUGUUUUGUUGCCUUUGCUGCGAAUCUCCAUUUGUUGUGCUGUUUUUGAAGGAUCUCUGGUAGCAAUUUCCUGAUUCUUGUGUGUGAGCUGGAGGUAAACUUUUUGCUGUUGCUUGUUUGAGUGUUGGUUUGCUGCUGUGGCAGGUUCUCGAGUCUUGGUUUGGAAAUGGCUUGUCACCCUGGAUUGAUUUUGACUUUAGUAUUGGUUUUGUCACUCAAGUGCCUUUAAUUCUCCAUUCUGGACCACAAAUUCUAGGGCUCCAGUUUAUAACAACAACUUAUCACGCACUGUCAGGGCAAGAGCAAAAAGCUAAAGAAGUUUGCUAGUUAAAUCACUUUCGGGGCUUUUGUUCUCUCAUCUCUGCAUCUUCUACUGUUAUUGCCAACAUCUUCCAACACUCUUUGUCACUGCCACUCAGCACAGGUAAAAUUGCUUAACAUAUGACGUGGCAUGAGCAAAACUAAGGUGAUGAUGGAGUCCUCAAACACCUUGUUGAUGGUGAAUCUUGGCAACACUUCAACCGCACACAUGAGUUAUUUGCAAUGGAACCUCAAAAUGUCAAACUAGGGUUAUGUGUUGACGGUUUCGAUCGUUUUGAAUCGACUGUGAAACCUUAUUCUAUUUGGUCAGUAAUGUUCUGUGUACAAUUUACCUCCAUGGAUGUGUAUGAAACAACAAUAUAUAUUUCUUAAUAUGGUUAUUUCGGGAAAAAAAAAUUCAAGUUAAAACAUAGAUAUUUUCUUGAGGCCUUUGAUAGAUGAGUUGAAAGUAUUGUGAACUCAGGGUGUUGUCAUGUAUAAUGCAUAUAGGAAACAAAAUUUUCA